rnacentral:tRNA from 1 species
CGUGGUUCGGACGGGCUGGACGUAGCAGCGGACUCAUAAUCCGUCGGCCGUGGGUUCGAGUCCCACCCGCCCCACCA